rnacentral:lncRNA from 1 species
AGCAACGGCCUGGCAACGGUUUCCCUGCUGCUGCAGCCCCCGUCGGCUCCUCUUUUCCAGUCCUCCACUGCCGGGGCUGGGCCCGGCCGCGGGAAGGACCGAAGGGGAUACAGCGUGUCCCUGCGGCGGCUGCAAGAGGACUAAGCAUGGAUGGCAGCCGGAGAGGUAAAGGGCAGCUGUCAGGGGCUACCGCCGCCUCGCCCCUCGCUCCAGGCGGCGCUCCCAGCCUCGGGUCCGGGCAGCUGAGUGCAAGGCCGCCCCUUGGGGCGCUUCCUACCCCUGGCUGAGUCGCCAGUGUUGCCUGGAGCUGCCCAGGCCUGCGCAAAGGAAGAGGGAGAGCCUGCUUGCCAGCCUCGCAGUCAGAGCAACCUCUGUCCUUCCCAGAUAUGGUCCACCGUGCCUAUUUAAAGGACACUUGAGCACCAAAAGUAAUGCUUUUUGCACUGACUCCUCUUCUCUCAGACUAAGCACUCUCCAGCUGGUCAAGAAUCACAUGGCUGUUCACUAUAAUAAAAUCCUUUCAGCCAAAGCUGCAGUAGACUGCUCGGUUCCAGUAAGCGUGAGUACC